UAAAGGAAAGGAUGCAUUGUUUUAUAG
rnacentral:piRNA from 1 species